UACGUAGGGGGCAAGCGUUGUCCGGAAUCAUUGGGCGUAAAGGGUGCGUAGGUGGCCGGGUAAGUCUGACGUGAAAUCUCCGAGCCUAACUCGGAAACUGCAUCGGAUACUAUCCGGCUUGAGGAUUGGAGGGGGGACUGGAAUACUUGGUGUAGCAGUGAAAUGCGUAGAUAUCAAGUGGAACACCAGUGGCGAAGGCGAGUCCCUGGACAAUUCCUGACACUGAGGCACGAAAGCUAGGGGAGCAAACAGG
rnacentral:rRNA from 1 species